AUGACUGCUUGCAAUGCCUCACAGGGCCACCCUUCUUUCUUCAUUCUCCAAGGAAUUCCUGGCAUGGAGGACAAACACAGAUGGAUAUCUAUCCCCUUCUCCUCCAUGUAUUCCGUUAUGGUGCUUGGGAACUGCACCAUCCUCCUCACCAUCUCCACAGAGCGCUCCCUGCACAAACCCAUGUUCCUGCUCCUCUGUCUGUUGGCCCUCACAGACCUGGGCAUGUCUACAACCACCAUUCCCAAGGUGCUGUGCAUUUUCUGGUUUGGCCAGAGUGAGAUCAGCUAUGAAGGAUGCCUGGUUCAGCUGUUCUUCAUCCACUCCAUCUCUGCCAUGCAGUCAGCUGUCCUGAUGACCAUGGCCUUUGAUCGCUAUGUGGUCAUCUGCAAGCCCUUGCGCUAGGCCACCAUCCUUUCCAAUAGUUGCACUGGACUCAUUGGCUUAGUGAGUUUGGUGAGAGCUAUCCUCUUUAUUCUCCCCAUGCCCAUCCUCCUUCAGCAAAUGCCCUAUGAUGCCAAUCGUGUCAUCCCCACCACCUACUGUGAGCACAUGGCUGUGGUGAAGAUGGUUUGUGUAGAUACUACAGUCAACAGGAUAUAUGGCCUGGUGGUGGCCUUGUUGGUUGCUGGCUAGAUCUCUCAGCUAUUGCUUCAUCUUAUGUGCUAAUCAUCCAGGCUAUAAUGCGUCUCUCUUCUAAGGAAUCCCACCACAAAGCAGUCAACACCUGCACCACACACAUCCGUGUCAUGCUUAUUUCUUAUACUCCCUCACUUUUCUCUUUUCUCGCUCACCGCUUUGGCCAAGGCAUUCCACCCCACGUCCACAUCAUUCUUGGCAACCUUUACUUCCUUGUACCUCCAAUGCUCAGUCCUAUAAUUUAUGGAGUGAAAACUAAGGAGUUCUGGGACAAAGUGACCAAAUAG
rnacentral:sRNA from 1 species